UCCCCCUACAACUCUGAUCAUAAUUUGAAAGGGUAUGGCCCUAACCAUUCGAAAAUGCAUUGUCUAUACAACUACAAACGGACACUAUUACCAUGCAAAUGUAAAAAUUUUGACAGCAUCUCUCCUAGGUUCUCCAAUUGCACGAUAUGAAAAAUGAGCUAUUCCAUUUAAGAUUAUUAAAUGAAAUAUCACAUUUCUAUAUAUGCAAUCAUAGAACAUAGUGAGAUACCACUAAAUUUCUACUUAUGCAUAAGUCAAGAGGCAUCCAUUUGCAGAUAUCGAAUAUAGACAUGGCAUUUGCAAACUGUCCUUCAGGACAAUUCGGUAAAAGCUCACCCUCCAGUGAGCAUAUCACUGAACAGUA
rnacentral:misc_RNA from 1 species